UUAUACCACAUCUUCUUUAUCCAUUUAUCUAUCGAUGGACACUUAGGUUGUUUCCAUGUCUUGGCUAUUGUAAAUAGUGCUGCUAUGAACAUAGGGGUGUAUGUAUCUUUUUUAAUUACAGGGUUGUCUGGGAAUAUGCCCAGGAGUGGGAUUGCUGGGUCAUAUGGUAACUCUAUUUUCAGUUUUCUGAGGAGCCUCCACACUGGUUUCCAUAGUGGCUGCACCAAUUUGCAUUCCCAUCAACAGUGUAGGAGGGAUGAACUCCAUCUUAAUUUACAUAUUAAUUACAUCUGCAAAGACCCAAUUUCCAAAUAAGGUCACGACCACAGGUACCAGGGCUUGGGGGGCCUCCCUUAGGAGGGGGCCCUAGCAGAGAUCUAAAGGAGCCAAGGAGCCAGCCUCAGCGGGAGCUGGGGGCCAGUGUCCGAGGCAGAGGGAACAGAGCAGAGAGCAAGCCUGGGGCAUUCAAGGACUGGCGAGGAGGCCAGUGUAACCAGAGUGGAGUGAUGGCGGGGGUAAUGCUGAGGUGGUAGGUGGGGGCCGGACUAUUCAGGCCAAGGGAGGGAUGUGACUUUUACUUUGAAGGUAAUGGGGAGCCAUGGACGGUGUGUGAACAGGAGAGGGCUAGGUUCUGAUUUCUGAUUUCCUGAAGUCCCUGUGGCUGCCGUGGGGCAAGAGGAGGGGGGCAGCAGGAGGCCAGGGUGGGGGCCUGUAUGGGGCUGUGGGUUCAGGAUGCGUUCUGAGGCCAAGGGGACAGGCCCUGCUGGAUGUGUGGGUGCCGGAAGGACCUCACGUCCUGGCCUGAACCUUGUGGGGAGGACGGAGCCAUCUCCUGGGAGGAGGAAGGAUGGAACAGGCUCCUCCUGGGAUCCCUGUGAUGGAGGCUUGGAGAGGGAAGUGACAGCCUGCUGGGUGGGGUCUCAGAAACAGUGAAGACAGAGGUGGGGCUUGAACCUCCCAGAACCGUCCAGCCCAGGGCCACCUUGUCUGCUUCCCUGGGUUUUGCUUACAUUGUUUGACAUUGAGUGGUUUUCACUUUUUUCUCUCAGCAAACCCGGGUGGAACUCAAGGCUUUGGUUCAGAACUCAAAGCAGCUUUUGACAUACCGUAUAGUUUUGCAAUCGGGGACUUAAGUAAUCCAUAUUGGAAUGUGAAAUCAUUUGUCUCGUGUUUUUAAAUUAUUAUUAAAAUGGCCUCUUUUUUUCUCUUUUUA